UGAGUCGACUGGGUGGCCGCGCCGACCGGUGACGGGCGGUGAGGAAAGUCGGGGCUCCACAGGGCAGGGUGCUCGCGAAGCGAGUCGCGGCGACGUGCAGGACAGUGCCACAGAGAACAGACCGCCGAUGGCCCGGGCGACCGGGCACAGGUGAGGGUGAAACGGUGCGGUAAGAGCGCACCAGCGCCGCGGGCGACCGCGGCGGCUCGGUAAACCCCACCCGGAGCAAGAUCGAACAGGGGAGACGCGGCCCGCGGGUCCGGUGACGGACACUCCCCAGGUGGAUCGCUCAGAUGGAUGGCCGCCCACCCCUCCUCGGAGGGUGGACAGAACCCCGCUUACAGGUCGACUCACCAU
rnacentral:RNase_P_RNA from 1 species